UGGGAACGUACCCUUUGGUUCGGAACAACCCAGGGAAACUUGGGCUAAUACCGGAUAAGUCCGUAAGGAGAAAGAUUUAUCGCCAAAGGAUCGGCCCGCGUCUGAUUAGCUAGUUGGUAGGGUAAUGGCCUACCAAGGCUACGAUCAGUAGCUGGUCUGAGAGGAUGGCCAGCCACAUUGGGACUGAGACACGGCCCAGACUCCUACGGGAGGCAG
rnacentral:rRNA from 1 species